rnacentral:rRNA from 1 species
UCCAGACUCCUACGGGAGGCAGCAGUGGGGAAUAUUGCACAAUGGAGGGAACCCUGAUGCAGCGACGCCGCGUGGGUGAAGGAGUACCUCGGUGCGUAAAGCCCUAUCGGCAGGGAAGAAACAGACGGUACCUGACUAAGAAGCCCCGGCUAACUACGUGCCAGCAGCCGCGGUAAUACGUAGGGGGCAAGCGUUAUCCGGAUUUACUGGGUGUAAAGGGAGCGUAGACGGCGAUGCAAGUCUGAAGUGAAAGGCGGGGGCCCAACCCCCGGACUGCUUUGGAAACUGUAUAGCUGGAGUGCAGGAGAGGGAAGUGGAAUUCCUAGUGUAGCGGUGAAAUGCGUAGAUAUUAGGAGGAACACCAGUGGCGAAGGCGGCUUACUGGACUGUAACUGACGUUGAGGCUCGAAAGCGUGGGGAGCAAACAGGAUUAGAUACCCUAGUACCA